CGCUGUCAAAGGUGGCUGAAAUUGCCCGGCAGCUGAAAACAUUAUAAAGGGAUGAGGGAAGACAGACGGGCAUGAGCUCAAAAGCCUCUUUUCCUAAAAAAACUAGGUCACGCACGAGAGCGGUGGCAGAGAUGGCAGGAGGGAACCCGGACCGGAGCCGGCGCUUGUCCCCCGCCGCCUUGGGGCAGCAAAGCUCACUCUGUACAAGCAGGGACAGACCCCUGCAGCCGAGUUAGCUCUGUGGGAUGGACCGUCCACCUCUUCCCAUCACGAUGCAAGAAGUGGGCAUGGGGAAAAUGAGGA
rnacentral:lncRNA from 1 species